AUACAGGGGGUGCGAGCGUUAAUCGGAAUUACUGGGCGCAAAGAGUACGUAGGCGGUUGCUUAAGUCAGAUGUGAAAGCCCCGGGCUCAACCUGGGAACUGCAUUUGAAACUGAGUGACUAGAGUUUAAGAGAGGGGAGUAGAAUUCCGGGUGUAGCAGUGAAAUGCGUAGAGAUCCGGAGGAAUACCAGUGGCGAAGGCGGCUCCCUGGCUUAAAACUGACGCUGAGGUACGAAAGCGUGGGUAGCAAACAGGAUUAGAAACCCCAGUAGUCC
rnacentral:rRNA from 1 species